rnacentral:rRNA from 1 species
GAUGAACGCUGGCGGCGUGCCUAAUACAUGCAAGUCGAGCGAACGGAUAAGGAGCUUGCUCCUUUGACGUUAGCGGCGGACGGGUGAGUAACACGUGGAUAACCUACCUAUAAGACUGGGAUAACUUCGGGAAACCGGAGCUAAUACCGGAUAACAUAUUGAACCGCAUGGUUCAAUAGUGAAAGGCGGCUUUGCUGUCACUUAUAGAUGGAUCCGCGCCGUAUUAGCUAGUUGGUAAGGUAACGGCUUACCAAGGCAACGAUACGUAGCCGACCUGAGAGGGUGAUCGGCCACACUGGAACUGAGACACGGUCCAGACUCCUACGGGAGGCAGCAGUAGGGAAUCUUCCGCAAUGGGCGAAAGCCUGACGGAGCAACGCCGCGUGAGUGAUGAAGGCCUUCGGAUCGUAAAACUCUGUUAUCAGGGAAGAACAAAUGUGUAAGUAACUGUGCACAUCUUGACGGUACCUGAUCAGAAAGCCACGGCUAACUACGUG